UCCUCAAUGGUCCAGUGGCUAGGAUUUGUCGCUUUCACCGACACGGCCGGGGUUCGAUUCCCCGUUGGGGAA
rfam:Choanephora cucurbitarum strain KTS-F28377 scaffold_907, whole genome shotgun sequence.